CCAGACUCCUACGGGAGGCAGCAGUGGGGGAUAUUGCACAAUGGGGGAAACCCUGAUGCAGCGACGCCGCGUGGACGAAGAAGUAUUUCGGUAUGUAAAGUCCUAUCAGCAGGGAAGAAGAAAUGACGGUACCUGACUAAGAAGCCCUGGCUAACUACGUGCCAGCAGCCGCGGUAAUACGUAGGGGGCAAGCGUUAUCCGGAUUUACUGGGUGUAAAGGGAGCGCAGGCGGCAGCGCAAGUCUGAUGUGAAAGCCCGGGGCCCAACCGCGGGACUGCAUUGGAAACUGCGCAGCUGGAGUGCCGGAGGGGUAAGCGGAAUUCCUAGUGUAGCGGUGAAAUGCGUAGAUAUUAGGAGGAACACCAGUGGCGAAGGCGGCUUACUGGACGGCAACUGACGCUGAGGCUCGAAAGCGUGGGGAGCAAACAGGAUUAGAUACCCCCGUA
rnacentral:rRNA from 1 species